GCACCUCACAAAACGGGUGCCGGGCGUGAGAACCCGGAUAAGGUCAAAGGCGACAACAGACGCCUAUCGCGUCUUUUUU
rnacentral:sRNA from 1 species